GACGAACGCUGGCGGCGUGCUUAACACAUGCAAGUCGAACGGAAAGGCCUGCUUUCCCUUGUGGAUUGCGGGUACUCGAGUGGCGAACGGGUGAGUAACACGUGAGUGAUCUGCCCCCAACUUGGGUAUAAGUCUGGGAAACUGGGUCUAAUUCCCGAUAGGACUGCAGGGUGGUGCCUGUGGUGGAAAACGAUUUUCUAGUGGUUGGGGAUGAGCUCGCGGCCUAUCAGCUUGUUGGUGGGGUAAUGGCCUACCAAGGCGGCGACGGGUAGCCGGCCUGAGAGGGUGGACGGCCACAUUGGGACUGAGAUACGGCCCAGACUCCUACGGGAGGCAGCAGUGGGGAAUAUUGCACAAUGGGCGGAAGCCUGAUGCAGCGACGCCGCGUGGGGGAUGACGGCCUUCGGGUUGUAAACUCCUUUCGACCGCGAGGAAGCCACCUGGUUGGAAGGGUGGUGACGGUAGUGGUAGAAGAAGCACCGGCUAACUACGUG
rnacentral:rRNA from 1 species